rnacentral:rRNA from 1 species
GGGUUGUGAGGUUAAGCGACUAAGCGUACACGGUGGAUGCCCUGGCAGUCAGAGGCGAUGAAGGACGUGCUAAUCUGCGAUAAGCGUCGGUAAGGUGAUAUGAACCGUUAUAACCGGCGAUUUCCGAAUGGGGAAACCCAGUGUGAUUCGUCACACUAUCAUUAACUGAAUCCAUAGGUUAAUGAGGCGAACCGGGGGAACUGAAACAUCUAAGUACCCCGAGGAAAAGAAAUCAACCGAGAUUCCCCCAGUAGCGGCGAGCGAACGGGGAGCAGCCCAGAGCCUGAAUCAGUGUGUGUGUUAGUGGAAGCGUCUGGAAAGGCGCGCGAUACAGGGUGACAGCCCCGUACACAAAAAUGCACAUGCUGUGAGCUCGAUGAGUAGGGCGGGACACGUGGUAUCCUGUCUGAAUAUGGGGGGACCAUCCUCCAAGGCUAAAUACUCCUGACUGACCGAUAGUGAACCAGUACCGUGAGGGAAAGGCGAAAAGAACCCCGGCGAGGGGAGUGAAAAAGAACCUGAAACCGUGUACGUACAAGCAGUGGGAGCACGCUUAGGCGUGUGACUGCGUACCUUUUGUAUAAUGGGUCAGCGACUUAUAUUCUGUAGCAAGGUUAACCGAAUAGGGGAGCCGAAGGGAAACCGAGUCUUAACUGGGCGUUAAGUUGCAGGGUAUAGACCCGAAACCCGGUGAUCUAGCCAUGGGCAGGUUGAAGGUUGGGUAACACUAACUGGAGGACCGAACCGACUAAUGUUGAAAAAUUAGCGGAUGACUUGUGGCUGGGGGUGAAAGGCCAAUCAAACCGGGAGAUAGCUGGUUCUCCCCGAAAGCUAUUUAGGUAGCGCCUCGUGAAUUCAUCUCCGGGGGUAGAGCACUGUUUCGGCAAGGGGGUCAUCCCGACUUACCAACCCGAUGCAAACUGCGAAUACCGGAGAAUGUUAUCACGGGAGACACACGGCGGGUGCUAACGUCCGUCGUGAAGAGGGAAACAACCCAGACCGCCAGCUAAGGUCCCAAAGUCAUGGUUAAGUGGGAAACGAUGUGGGAAGGCCCAGACAGCCAGGAUGUUGGCUUAGAAGCAGCCAUCAUUUAAAGAAAGCGUAAUAGCUCACUGGUCGAGUCGGCCUGCGCGGAAGAUGUAACGGGGCUAAACCAUGCACCGAAGCUGCGGCAGCGACGCUGAUGCGUUGUUGGGUAGGGGAGCGUUCUGUAAGCCUGUGA